AACGAACGCUGGCGGCAUGCCUAACACAUGCAAGUCGAACGAGACCUUCGGGUCUAGUGGCGCACGGGUGCGUAACGCGUGGGAACCUGCCCUUAGGUUCGGAAUAACUCCCCGAAAGGGGUGCUAAUACCGGAUAAUGUCUUCGGACCAAAGAUUUAUCGCCUUUGGAUGGGCCCGCGUUGGAUUAGCUAGUUGGUAGGGUAAAAGCCUAUCAAGGCGACGAUCCAUAGCUGGUCUGAGAGGAUGAUCAGCCACACUGGGACUGAGACACGGCCCAGAAUCCUACGGGAGGCAGCAGUGGGGAAUAUUGGACAAUGGGCGAAAGCCUGAUCCAGCAAUGCCGCGUGAGUGAUGAAGGCCUUAGGGUUGUAAAGCUCUUUUACCCGGGAUGAUAAUGACAGUACCGGGAGAAUAAGCUCCGGCUAACUCCGUG
rnacentral:rRNA from 1 species